rnacentral:sRNA from 1 species
UGGGGCUGCUUCUGAGGAAUCAGCUUGACUGGCCAGCAAGUUCAGCUCCGGCAAGUCAUUUGAUUCACCCGGUGAUGAAAUGGGGGUCAACCAGUCUGUGGGCUUUCCGCCUGUCACAGGACCCCACCUCGUAGGCUGUGGGGAUGUGAUGGAGGGUCAGAAUCUCCAGGACUUUGUAUUCAGCCUUCUGCAUGGAGCUGGCCUCACGUGGCUUUGUGGUUGCUGUGCCAGAGCACAGGGACCGGUCAGCGGCAACCACCUAUUUCUGCAAGCAGGCCCCAGAAGAGAACCAGCCCACCAAUGAAUUGCUGCAAGAGGAAUGGAUCCCUUUCCGUCGAGUUGAGGAAGGGGAGAAGGAAUUUCAUGUUCGGAAUCCCCAGGUGCAUCAGCGGGUAAGCGAGUGUUUACGGGUGUUGAAGAUCCUGCAAGAGGUCACUGCUGGGCAGACUGUCUUCAACAUCUUGCCUGGUGGCUUGGAUCUGAUGACUUUGAAG